rnacentral:rRNA from 1 species
UGAGGAAUAUUGGUCAAUGGGCGGGAGCCUGAACCAGCCAAGUCGCGUGAGGGAGGAAGGUCCUACGGAUUGUAAACCUCUUUAGCCGGGGAGCAACGUGCGCCACGUGUGGCGCAGUGAGAGUACCCGGAGAAUAAGCAUCGGCUAACUCCGUGCCAGCAGCCGCGGUAAUACGGAGGAUGCGAGCGUUAUCCGGAUUUAUUGGGUUUAAAGGGAGCGCAGGCCGCCGGGCAAGCGUGUUGUGAAAUGCAGUCGCUCAACGUCUGCACUGCAGCGCGAACUGCCCAGCUUGAGUGCGCGCAACGUUGGCGGAAUUCGCCGUGUAGCGGUGAAAUGCUUAGAUAUGGCGAAGAACUCCGAUUGCGAAGGCAGCUGACGGGUGCGUAACUGACGCUCAUGCUCGAAAGUGCGGGUAUCGAACAGGAUUAGAUACCCUGGUAGU